AUUGAACGCUGGCGGCAUGCUUUACACAUGCAAGUCGAACGGUAACAGGCCGCUUGGUGCUGGCUUGUGCGGAACGGGGGUGUGAUACGUCUGGACAUGCCCAUUCGAGUGGGGGAACUAGUCGGGAGAGGGGCUAAUACCCCGUACACGCUAUGUGGGAGAGCGUGGGGCCUUUUCGCCUCUCACGAUUUGAGCUGCGUCUAGGUCAGAUUAGAUAGUUGGUGGGGUAAAGGCACACCAAGGCGACGAUCUGUAUCUGGUCUGAGAGGAUGAUCAGUCACACUGGGACUGAGACACGGCCCAGACUCCUACGGGAGGCAGCAGUGGGGAAUUUUGGACAAUGGGCGAAAGCCUGAUCCAGCAAUGCCGCGUGUAGGAAGAAGGUCUUCGGGUUGUAAAGUGCUUUAGGACGGAACGAAACGGAUCUGGUUAAUACCUGGGGCUAAUGACGGUACCGAAAGAAUAAGCACCGGCUAACUACGUG
rnacentral:rRNA from 1 species